CCGGAACCCGCCCUGCGCUCGGCUUUGCUCCGCGUUUCCCGGGGUGCCCGGGAGCAGCCGCGGGCCCCCUCCGGCCUUCGCGGAGGGACGGGAGGGCGGUGGGGCCCCAGGGCGUGCCCGAUCGCCUGUCCACUCCCGGCCGCCACGCGCUGCGCCCGGCCCGAGGUGACCCGCGGGCAGGGCGGGUCCGCGGCCAGGGGGCGCUGCGCAGGUCGGCGGCCGGCGGGCGUGGCGCGGAGAGGCGGCGAGGUGGCCCGCAUGGCGCUGGGAGCCGCGCUGCGGGCACGGGCGGGCGGCGGCCUCACGCACCGCUGGGUGCGGUGCCGGGCGCGGGCGCGAGGCGACGAGGACGCCCAGGCCGUGCUGGACGCGGAGGCCGAGGCCCCGGGGCGCGCGGACCCCGAGGGCGCACAGGGCCCGCACCCGGCCUCGCGCCCGGAGCCCCAGCCACAGGAGGAGGCGGCGCCCGGGGAGGCGCGCGGGAAGCGGCGCCGACGGCGGCUGAAGAAGUGCGGCAAGAACGUGGGCAAGGUCGUCACCAAGGGCUGCCGAUACCUCGUCCUUGGCCUGCAGAGCUUUGCCGCUGCCUACUCCUCCCCGUUCGCAGUGGGCACCAGCGUGGUGUCCCUUGUGCGCUAGAGGACCCUGCGCCUUUCGGACUUGGACUCGCAGAGCACGAGCACUGAGCACCGGAUGAGAAGCUGCCUUCCUUGUUGGGUCGGAUGGGUCAAGCGCCAGCCAGCCUGCCGCCUCCAGCGGGCUGCCAGACACUGGCCUGAGGGGCCCACCUGGGGCCAGGGGAGUUGGUCCCUGGGACACUCAUCCUUCGGGGAAGGCGGCAGGGUGGGCUGGAGACUGAUUUGGGCAGGGUGGGCUGGAGACUGAUUUGAGCAGCGUGGGCAGCCGAUGGCCGCUCCAGAGCAGGAAUCUCCUGCACAGGGCGCGGGCUCCCGGGCCGCCCAGGGCCCUGGCUUCCUGACUUCUGAGGCUGAGCAAAGCAGCUGUUUAUUUCUCAAGUCAUUCUCUCCCACCCUGUCACUCCACCACUCUGUCAAGGGAGUUUCAUCACAGGCUCAGGAAGAGGGAGGGAGGGAGGGAAGGAAGGAAGGAAAGGACAGCCUCCCUUUGAAGGCGCUGAGGAUUGCCUCCUGCAUUCUCAGCUGGGCCACAGAAGGGGGAGGAAGCCUCUCCUCGGUGCCUGGACCCUGGGAGAGUGGGGGGCACAGGAAGCUGGGACGGGUGAGGAUUCAGAAGAGGAGCCAGAAAGUAGCAGACGGUUGGAGGAUGUGGAAGAGGGCAGGAAGGGUGUCAGAGGAGCAGCAGGGGCAGGUGGGGAAGUCCAGUGUCGGGGGGCCCAGGCAGCUGGGGCUGUAGUUCUGGGGGACCGGGGGGGCUGCCAGGGCCCAUGGCGGGGCUCGGCCCUCUGUGGCCCGCAGGCUCACACUCGGGUGUGGAGCGCCCUGUCCUGCCCUGUGCAACCAGCUGACGCGGACUCCCUGGAUCCCGAGGUUGGGGUGCUUGAGGUCCUGGCCCUGUCAGCGCAGCCUGCACUCUGAGUUGCUUGAGGGAGGUGGAGGGUGGAGAAGAUCCCUCUGCCCUCUGCUGACCCCUGCGACAGGCUGAGUUCCAGCUGUGCCCAGAAUAUCCAGAGGCCUGGAUGCUCCUGCCUCAGCCACCCAGCCCAGCCAGGGCCCGCCCGGGGGGCAGGGAAGCCGUAGAGGGACGGAUGGAUGGAUGGGCUGGUGGAGAAAACGGUGACUGGAGGUGAGGUAGGGUAGAAGGAAUGAAGCCAGGGAAACGAGGCAAAGACCAGAAUUUUAAAAUUGUGUUUUUCAGAAAAACUUCAGCUUUAGGACACAAAAGUUGCUCAAGCCUUUUUUCCUUUCAGGAAACUCAAUUUUUUUUUUUUUUGGUACCGGGGAUUGAACUUGGGAACCACUGAGCUCAAUCCCCGGCCCAAGGAAACUCAAAUUAUUUAUCCCCAAGGGCCGUAAAGAUACAAUGAGCCUGUAAAUUGGGCUUCCAGGGGCCUGUAUUUUUUACUUUUUUUUUUUAGGACAGGGUCUCACCAUGGAGUUCAGGCCAGCCUUGGACUCAUUAAGCAACCCAGGCUGGCCCCGAAUUCAUGGAAAUCCUCCUGCCUCAGUGUCCAAGUGCUCGGAUUACAGCUGUGUGCCGCUGUGCCUGGAUUUUACUUGUUUACUAUACUUUCUCCCACAAACUUCUACCUUCAGGGAGGCAGCAGUGUUAGUGGGCGGUAGAUCCCAACUUCGGGCUUGUGGAAAUCGUGUUCUGAUGAGCAACGUGACAGACAGUAGCAACACACAUCCCAGGCACCCCUCUCGGCCCGCAGGCCCCAUAACUGCGCCCAGCUCCGACCAUAGGCACCCCCCCCCUCCAGGACUCGCAGGCUGUGUGUGUCUUUCAAUGUACGCUUUUAAAAUGUUUGUCUAAUAAAUUCCUUCGUGCCUCUUCUAACAUGUCCUGAAAAUUCCUUUUCCAAGCUGGAGUCAGUAGGGGUACAGCUUAGUCCUCGGGUAAGGCUUGGGGGUCUCCCGGGACCCCAUGCUGCAUCACAGACACGGAUCCUGCGUUGGCCAGUGCUGCAGGUCAUGUGCACACAUGGGAGAUCACCGAGGGCAGAGUGUGGAGCAGAGAAGGACCUCAGGGCCCAGGGCCUGCUGGCCCCCUGAGGGAAGCAGGACCCCUGCACCAGGUCCCCCGGUGAGUAGGGUGUCGCCUGGGGAGGGGGCCAGGGACUUCCCUGCCCCCCAAGUUGGAAAAUCCGCAAAAUCAAGCACAUCUGGCCCUGAACUUCUGAAGGUCUGGUUAAGAAUUAACUCAGAAAUGUCACAAGUCAGAGGCUCGCGGGGCUUGUCCUGAGGAUCGGGCUCACAGAGAGGACUUCACCCAGCUCCCAGUGCCCAAGGGUCACCCCCACGGCAGGGCCGAGUGCUCCCUGCGCCUACCCCAUCAAGUAGCAGGUCGCCUUUUUACUUUGCUCUCUGAUCGUCAGUACCACGGCCGCUGCCCUCCUGGGAACCGAGUUCUAGAGCUCUCCCUUGGGCCCGUGGAGCACAGCUUCUUCCCUAUCCUUUCCUCGGCCUGUGAUGUGAACAAGCUCCAGCCUGGUCAGUGUUUCCGUGCCAAGGCUGUUUCUCCCUCACUUUCUUCCUUGCCUGGAAACCUGGUGCAGCAGGUGUCCUGAGAGACUGGCGAGGACAGCGCCCUGGGGACUGCGGCUCUGAUGUCCUGGCCUCCCUGGCUCCACCCCCUGCGGAAUCUCGUCUCUGGCCCCAGCUUUGGUUCCUGGCCUGGAAACCUGCCUGCUGUCCUCAGAGAUUUCAGCCUGUCUUGCGUUCCUUUGCACUCAGUCAUUCAACAAGUGGACCUGAGCAGCUCCCGGUGCCCAGCCCAGGGCCUGUGGAUCUCCGUGUUGGUUUUGCCAGAAUGCAGGAAAGACUUGGCUUUGCUGGGCCUCCAGGGGUUGCUGGCCAGUAGGAGGAGUCGCCUGGGGCCCGGGGAGGGGUCGGCUCUGACCUCGCAGGCCCAGGCUCCGCCCUCGCAGGCGCAAGCUCUGCCCUCCACAGGCGCAGCCUCGGCUCGCAGGGCGCAGGGCGACCUGGGGGUUCCUCCGCAGGCUCCCAGGGUCCCCAGGUCCGAAAGCGCUGGCCGUGGCCGUGGUGGGCCGCUUGCGGGGAACUCAGUAGAUCCCUGCGCCACAAAAAUAAAAUACAAGUGCAGAAAGUUUUAUUUUGUGAACACUUACCGUCUGCCUUCUGAAUAGUCAUCUCAGAAUACUUAAAAAUGGAAGAAAGUAAAAAUAAUGGUGAUUCUGCAACCCCACGGGGGCGUUUGCCAGCGCCCGGUGCCUUCCACCGCCGCCCCAGUGCAGCUGCUUGCGAGGUGCGGGGUCUCCUAGUGCCGCGGGGCCGGAGGGGCCCGCUGUUCUCUGUGUGGACCUCUGCAGGGUCGUCCCGGACCACACCGCCCUGGGCACGGGCCGGGGCCGGGGCAGGACAAGCCAGGGACAGACGCACCGACACAGGAUCAACCAUGGGGACCAAGGACAAACAAGCUCCGGGCGCUCAGCCUGUUACUCGGGAGGAGCAGGAUUUGGUGCUGACGCUGGCAGCAUGUGUACUAAAGCUGGAAUGAUACAGAGCUCACCACAGCUCCUGUGCAAGGAUGGAGUGCAAAUUCAUGACGCUCUCAGAGGGGGAGGGGGAGGGGGAGGAAGAAUUCUCCUUCUGGGCCGAUUAGGUCUUAAAAUAUUGGUUUUACUAUUAAAACAAACCCCCAAACAGAAACAAAAACCAAAACCUGAAACCACGUGACUCUUCACUUGGUAUGGGUAACUAAAAGCAGAAUAAAGCUUGACCUGCAGUUGGUAAAACUCUGGGCCAAGUUCUUCUUUGCUCUGCAUAGAGACAUUUUGGUCCUUUGGGAAGCAUCCAUCUAAAAGUUGGCAAAACAAGGUUUACUGGCCCCAGAUUCACCUCGUCCCCCUUUAAGACUGAGGACGGCAAGAGUACCACAGUAAGUUUCAGGAUUUGCCGGGACAGCCGAUGGCCAGAUUUUGCAACAUCCAAUUCCAGGCCUCCCUGGAAUGCCACCCAGUCUCCUGACCUGUCAUCAGCCCAGCUUCCAGGACAGGCAGAGCUGUACAGACUCCCCCACGAUGAGGCACCUGCUCGAAGCAAGAACACUAUUACAGCUGUCAUCAAAAAGUCAGAUUAUGCAUGUACUGAAGAUGUCCAGAGGCUGGACUCCUGCAUUCCAGCUGGAAAAUGGUCAGGCCAUUUCUCAAAAUGCUACCCAUGUAGUUGGUAUUUGACCCAGCAAUUCUGUUCAUUGGUAUCUAUCUGUGAAAAUGAAAACGUGUCCACACAAAACAUGUGCACAGAUGUUCAUAGCAGGAUUAUUCAGCAUGAGCAAAACAUGUAAACAAUCCAAAGGCCAUCAGCAGAUGAAUGGCUACACAAAAUGCAGUGUAUUCACACAGAGGGGGGCCAGGGAUUUAGCUCAGUGGUUCUGCCGCCUGCCUCGCAAGCACAAAGCCCUGAGUUCAAUCUCUGGUGCCAGAAAAAAAAAAUCAAUUGUCACAUAGUGGGGUACUAUUUGGCCAUAAAGAGGGAUGAAGCAAUGCUAUAUACUAUAAUGGGGAUGAAUUUUGACAUUAUGGAGAGAUCCAGUCACAAAAGGCCACAUCUUGUAUGCUUCCCUGUAUGGGAAAUGUCCAGAAGAGGCAAAUCCACAGAAAAAGAGCGAGAUUAGUGGAUUCUAUCUAGGGUUGAAAGAAAACGGGGUUUGACUGCUAAUGAGUACAUGGCUUUCUGAGGUGAUGAAAAAGUUCUAAAUUUCAUGUUGGAGAUGUUUGCUUCAUCUGGAAGAACCUGUUGGUUGAGGCCACCACAUCCGGGGUGGUUCUUCCCUCCUCAGUUUCCAGCCUACCUGUCAAUCAUCCACAGACAUGCCCAGAGCUUUACUGAUCUCCUGGCCAGUUGUUUCUCCGUCACGUCUGCACUGACAUAUCGUAGUUAGCGAUCACAGAAGACUUAGUCUAAUCGGAGGUUGUGAGGAUUUACAUUGUUAUUUUCUUUUAAGACAGAGUUUUAGUUUUAACUCUUUCAAGUAGGCCUAUCAACCGUUCUGCAUUAGACUUCUAUAUGGGGCACUUUGAACAUGAUAUCUAGCUAUUUCAGCGCCAAAAGUUGGAAAGAAUGUCUCAUCCAUACUGAUUUGUUUUGGGGUUCAUCAAAAAUCAAUUAAGCUUGAAUAUAAUUUAUUUCUGGAGUCUUCAUUGCAUUCUGUUGAACUGCAUGCCAAGCUUUGUGCCAGUGCCGAAAAUGUCUUGACAUUUGUAGCUGUGUAUUGUGUUUUGAAAUCAGGGAGUGUGAGUCCUCCAAGUUUGAUUCUAUCUUUCAAAUUGGUUUUGCUGUUCUUGGUCCCUUGAAUUCUAUUUAAAUUUUAUGAUUAAUUUGUCAGUUUUUACCAAAAAAGCCAGAUGAGAUUGUUGACCAGAUAGCAAUGAAACUGUAGGUCAAUUUGGGGAACAUUAUCAUCUUAUAGCGUUAAGGCUUCCAAGGCCAGAAGCAUGAUGUUUUUCAUUUAUUUAAGACUUCUGGAAUUUCUUUCAAUAGUAUUUUGUAGUUCUCAAAAUACAAGUUUUACACACCUUCUGUUAAAUUUAUUCCUAAUAACUUAUUCUUUUUUGUUGUUGUUGUUGUUUGUUUGUUUUUGUUUUGUUACCAGGGAUGGAACGAGGGACCUUGCGUUUGCCAGGCAAGCGGCAGAACCACUGAGCUAAAUCCCCCGCCCUAACUUAUUCUUUUUGAUCUCAUUGCAAAUGUAAUUUUUCUUAAUUUCCUUUUAAGACCAUUCAUUUAAUAGUGCAUAAAAAUACAAAGACUUUUUGUAUAUUGAUUUUGUAUUCUGCUACCAUGCUAAUUCACUUACUCUCUUUUUUUCCAUCACAGUAGGAAUUGAACACAAGGCCCUCGCCCUGAACUACUUCCCCAGUUCUUUUUGUAUUUUUAAAUUUUGAGACAAGGUCUUGCUCAAUGUCACUAAGUUGCCCAGGCUGGCUUGAACCUGCAAUCCUCCUGCCUCAGCCUCCCAGAAUGCUAAGUUUAUAGUAUGAACCACCAUGCCCAGCGUACUUAUUAUCUUUGAUAAUAUUUUUUAGUGAUUACGUAGGAUUUUUUAUAUGUAACAUUAUGUUACCUGUGAGUAGAGUCUGGUCUUAUUUUUUCUCUUCCAAUAUGAAUUCUGAGUAUUUCUUUUUCUUGCCUAGUUGCUCUGGCAAGAACUUCCACUGCACUACUGAAUUAUAAAACAGCAGAAGCAGACAUUCCUGACUCGAUCCUGAUUCAGGAGGAAAGAAGGCAGUCUUUCACCAUAGGAAUGCUACGUGCUUUUCUCGGAUGAGAUUCAGAUUGAGAAAGUUCUUUCCUAUUCCUAAAUUAAUGAGUAUUUUUACCAUGAAAGGAUACUGGAUUUUCCCAGUGCAUUUCCUGCACUUAUUGAGAUGAUAGUGUGUUUUUUGUUUUUUGUCCUUUUUGUGGCCUUUCUAUUGACAACUUAUAUUACAUUAACUGAUUUUUGGAUGUUAAACCAACCACAAUGCUGGACAAAUUCCACCUGACUGUAUGUUGUUGGACUCAGUUUGCUAGUGUUUUAUUGAAGAUUUUUAUACCUAUAUUCAUAAAUGAUAAUGUUCUAUAGUUUUCUUUUCUGAAGGUGUCACAGGAUAAUGAUACAUCUGGCUUUGGUAUCAAGAUAAAGCUGGCCUCAUAGAAUGAGAAGAGAUUUUUUUCCCUUCUCUUUAAUUUUUUUUUUUUUUUUUGGUACCAGGGAUUGGACUCGGGUCCUUGCGCUUGUGCAGCAGGCAGCGAAACUACUGAGCUAAAUCCCCGGCCCCCGUUCUGUUCAAUAUUUUGAAGAGUUUGUAAAAGUAGGUUUUAGAACUUAAAAGUAUUUUGGAGAAUUCACCAGUGAAGUUAUCCAGGCCUUUGUGGAAAAUAAUCACUAAUUUAAGUUCUUGUUAUAGAUCUACUUAGGUUUUCUAAUUCUUCCUGAGUCACUUUUGUCAGUUUGCAGUUUUCUAGAAAUCUAAUUUUGUCUACUUUGUUUGACUUGUUGGCACAUAGUUUUCUUCGUACUCUGUUAUAAGCCUUUCAUUUCUGUAAGAUUGGUACUGCUGUCUCCCAUCUUUAUUGCUAUACCUUAAUUUACUGUAUGAACCACCAGAAUGUAUUUGUUCUAUCUGCUGUGGGUAGAUAUAUGGGCAGUUACCUGGCCCAUUCUUCCAUUCUUUGGUUUCAUAACAAUUGUUCUUAUAUGCCAAGGACUCCUCUUUCUGGUGACAUUUCUUGGGAGCCUCAGGAUAUUGCCCAAUGAACUUGGCACAAAGAAACUUGGAAAACAUUUCUGCUUUCACCCUGGCCACACUGAAGGCAGGAUUGCUUCUGUCUUUGACCCUGAGAUCUUCCCAGAUCUGGCUGGCAUUCCAGGAUUGGCUUGUGGAACUGGACUUUGCACCUUGUCAGGCACAUGAAGGCAGUAAAUGUUCCUGAGUGUGCACAGGUGUGACCACAUCCCUAGAUGCUUCUGUGUGGGAGGCAUGGGGGAAGGUGGGGAACGUCCCGAGGUGGCGUCUGGUUGGAGGAAGUAGUCACUGGGGGCUGCCUUGUGAGGGUAUGUUUGUCCCUGGCCUCUGUGGCUCUCUUUCUGCCCCCUGGGCCCAUGAGCCGAGCUGCUUUGCUCCGCCUGGCCAUGGACCUCAGCAAUGCAACCAGUGAACCAUGACCUGAGCCCUGAAACCAUGAGCCAAAACAAGUCUUGCUUCUUUUAGGUUGAAUUCCUCAAGUAUUUUGUCACAGUGACAAAAAGCUACCAUGUUUCCUGACUAUAAUAUUCUCUGAUUAACUGACUCUAUCCUCAUGUUAUCACACACCUGACAAGCUUGUAAUAAGGAGAGCCGGAGUGGGGAGUUUUUGUUGCUUCUUGUGUAAGUUUUUUUUCCUGUAACAAAAUGCCCAAGGUAGCUAACUUGCUCAGUUCUGGAGGUUUUGGUCCAUGGUCAGGUGGGUUGCUGGUUUGUUGGUUUGUGUGAGGUAGGACAUCGUGGAGGGGACAUAUAACAGGGGAAUUUUUCACCUCAGGAUGCCAGAAACCAAAGGAGAAGAGGGUCAUCCUUCAGGUCACCCCAGAUGACCUAACUUGCUCCAGCUGGGCCCCACACCUUAAAGGUCAUACCACCUUCCAGUAGCACCAGGGACUGAGGACUGAGAUUGUCAUGGAAGGGCCUUUGGGGACAUUUAUCAGCCACGACACUUCUCAUCCGAAUCCCAUUGACCUUUGGAAGCUUUUCAUUAAUAGGCCUAAUAAUUAGCUAGAGAAAUUCCAGGGCCUGGACUUGUGGGCUCCCAGGGUGACCCCAGAAACCACAUGGGUUCCUCCAAGGAGUCAAAAUCCUAAAGUGCAUACAUUACUGCACAUAUGGUGGGGGAAGCUGGUUCUUUUUCGCUGUCCUCAAGUAUUUAAACAAUUUGUCAAAGCUUGGACUGGAAGGGAACAUUGAAAACCAGUGUACUUAGAGCAGGAAAAAUGCAGGGUGUGAGAGGAAACAUUUGUCCUCACAAUGGCCUUUGAGUAGGGGAGCCAAUUGGGCAGAAGAUGAAUUCUUCAAAUUUAAUGAAAUUAUUCGUGCAACAAAAGAAGGAAAUAAGAGCUGUGUAGGGCAUAUGUGAGAUUUCCUCUUCCUUUUACUGGACAUCUAGCAGAGUCCCGGGCUCUGGCUGGGCCUUUCUGGUUCCACAGCUCUCAACGCUGUCCUGGUACCAAGGCAACUCCCUCUGAAAAUGCUCAGUGAGGAGAGAACCUUCUUCCUGACCCUGAAUCCCUCCUUUGGACCUCUGUGUGUCACUAGAUUCCAACCCCCUCCCCUCGAUCUUCACUGGGUUCCACUUAUAUGCAUGUGUUUGUACAUUUGGGCACACAUGUUUUACACAUUUGACUGUAAGCUUCUAGCACUUUGUAAACCUAGGAGUCUUGCAUAUAAUAAAUAUUUGGUCACAAUUUACAGACGUUACUAUUAACUUUUUUUGGUAGUACUGAGGACCUGCAGAGGACGAUAGCAUUGAUUAUGCCCAAGGCAGGCUGUGAAGAGCCAACCCCACAGUCAGCUUGUUUAUAGAAGUGAGUCCGGCUGAAGCCUACGUGCUGAGGUCAGAGUAACUCGCACCCAAAUUCCAUUCCCACAACUAAAACCUUCAGAUUAGAAGGACAGUGUUCUAAUCACAAUCAUAUAUUUUGUCUAUUCUGUUCCUAAUUUGAGAGUGCCAUGUCUUGUCCUUCACAAGCCUUGUUUACAUUAAUUUCCAUAGAAACCACUCAUUGCUCGCCUUUACCCCAGUUGAUUGCCUAUAAAAGUCAGUGCCUGGGACUGGCCAGGGCCUUUGUCGGUUGCAUUGCAUUGGUCGUCCUGGCUCCCUGCUUUCUCUCCUAGUUCUGUCUCUUUGUGCAUUUAUUUCUCAGACCUGCAUCAUAUACUGGGCAGGUGAGGACUGGAACCCGACUGACUACAGAGGUCUCCAGCAAUUGGUGCCCAUUGUGGGGGCUUGAACUAUAAGCAAUCACCUGCUCAGUGAGGCUACUCAGGGUAAAGAGGAAGAAAAGAAAAAGGAAAAAAAGGAAUCCAGGAUGCAGUGCACCUCACAUCAAGAUAAGGAAGUCUAAACAUGAAGCACAAAACCCUGGAAAAAAGAGGUAGAUGCUUCAGAUGCAAGACGGUAGUAAAGGUAGUCAGCUGGGACCAAAACAUGAGGAAAUCACUUUCAGCCCAAGCUGGCCUGCAGUGUUGAACUAAGUGCUGCAAAAGGUAAAUAUAGCCAUCAUUUUUCACCAACAAGAACUUUAGAUAUGGAACUUAGGCAGCGUGUCAAAAAUAACAUCCAGACAACUCAGCAGAGAAGAGAAGUUAUCUCCCCUGAGACUUUAACUGAGACCUUGACAGCUUGGAGCUUUGUGCGCUCUGUUUUGCGGCCCGAACAGUGAAGCCUGGGAGCCGCUCAAGCUUCUGUUUUGCGGCAAUGAGCCGCCGGUGAGAACUGUUUAGUUUUGUUCUUAGAACAACUGCUCCCCAAAUCUGCUGUCUUUCACAAAGCGGACCUGCCUCUCAGGAAAUGUGACAUCGUUACAGGCAAACCCCAGUGCUCCCCUCUGGAGGAGGCCAAGCUUCCUCCCCCUUGACUUGAGCUGCAAGCUCACAGGUGCGGAGGAGGUGGGUAAAAAGCAUGAGGAGAACUGCUUGGCUUCCAUGCACUGGGAAGUGCCAUGGUCACACUCAGAAAAAAUCAAAACUUGCACUCAGAUUGGGAAGAACUGAAAUGAGAAAAUAAAUAAUGGAUUGAAAACAGCUAGAAACGCUUUGGAAAGCAUAAAGCAAAACAAUGAGAAAAACACUCCUGGCUGUAAGAGCCAUGGCCAGCGCUGCGUUAUCAGCCUGAUGCUGCCUGCAAAGGUCUGGAAUCCAAUACAAAGCCAGGGAAACUGCAACUGGUCUCUACCAGACAUAGAGAUUUUAUAAGAGAAAUCAAGCUACAAAUUUUAGCUAAUUGAUAAAUGUAUCUUUGUUAUAAUUUGCGUUGAUGUUUAAUUGGUGUGCCUAAAACAUUUCUUGUGCAUUGCAAAUUCUUGCAUUGUAAUUAUAGGGUUAACUUGUUCUUUUCUGUACUUUGUUGAUGAAGAACUCAAAGUUACUGCUGUUCUAUUGGCAGCCAGUCAAAUUUUAAAUUGUAACAAUCUCAGAACAGAAAAAAAAGAGACACUUUAAAAUUUUAACAGCUGAAGACAAGUUUUUAAUAGAAGAUUUAUAGUAAGUGAGAUGGAGGAAAAAUAUUAAAAAGGCUAUAAGUAAAAGAUAUUUUUGUUGGUACUGGAUAUCAAACUUGGGACCUUGCACUUGCACAGCAGGCACCAGACCCACUGAGCUAAAUCCCUGGCCCAAGAGAUAUAUUUUUGAUAUGAAAGGAUUUUUCUUUUUGCGGGGGUACUGUGGAUUGAACUUGGGACCUUGCGCUUGCAAGGCAGGCAGCAGUACCACUGAGCUAAAUCCCCAGCCCCGAUAUGAAAGGAUUUUGUAUGUUUGUCUUAUUAGAAGAAUAAAGAGAGAUAUACAAGAUCAGAAGGCCUAGGUAUGUUGAGAAGGUGUGUGGAAGUGAUUUAUCAAGAAAAUAUGUAUAUUUGCUUAUUGGCUUCAAGUUUGUUAUAAAAGGUUUGCAUUUACAGGCAUAAAGAGCUUUCAUUCUUUCCAGUUCUACAAGAGAUCUCUGUUAAUUGACUUACAAAGAGUUUUGACCAGUCUUAUUUACAAUUAUGAACCUAAAAAUUAUGAAAGGAUUUAUAAUUCAAUUAAGCUAAAUAUCUAGUUUUAUAAAUUGUCUUAUGUUUGUUUGUUUGCCCGUUUGUCUGUCCAACUGUACAGUUGUGUUGUUUAACAAGUUUAUUCCUUUAAAAAAUUUUUUUUAAAAAGAUAUUUGCUUAUAAUCUAAAUUGGCUUGUAGAUAAAGGUUAUGAAACUUAAAGGCAUGUAUUAUCCCCACCCCAGUUGCUAACAGAUCAAAAUGAUGUAAUAUAUAUUGUUGUCUAAUAUAAUCACUCCAAAACAUUAAUUGGUGGGCUGGAGUUUUAGCUCAGUGGUACUGCCACUUGCCUCGCAAGCACAAGGACCCGAGUUCGAUCCCUAGUACCUAAAAACCCCCACAUGAAUUGGUUACAAAUAAUGUAUUAAUUGUUACAAUCUGGUUUUUACAGGUUAUUAAGUAAGCUUUGUCAAAGGAAUUAAUGAAGAUCCAUAGGUUUAGAGAGAUUGCUAAACAGGACUCCUCUUGGUGAAUACAAGAGCGGCCAUGUGGAAAUAUUUUCCAGCCUUUGCUCACUAGGGGAACCUCAACAGUUUGUAUACUCUUACAACAGACUGAUCCUGAUAGUUUUCAUAGCCUUAAAAGAGACUUACAUCAAUGAAUAUUACUUUAAAAUGUUAUUGUAAUAUGAUUACAUUGGUUGUCAUCAAAGGCUUAAGCUCUAAAUAUGUUAUGUGAUAUGUUUACACUGGUCAUCUUCAAAAGAUUGAAUUUUCUGUGAAAACAAAGCAAGGUUUUAUUGAAAAGAUGCUUUUUACCAAACUAAAUUAGAGGGUAUAAGGUUUCACAUAUAUAACUGUGGUAAUUAUUAUUGUUAACUUUCUGGUGUACUAAAUGUAUUUACGCUUUCUGACUGUACAGGUUUUCUAAUAUAUUGUUUAUGAUAAUAACCUUCUUUUGAUUCAGGUAUUUGCCAUUCUAUUAUACUCCAGCUACUUACGAUAAGAGGUACAUUUAUAAGCUGAUGUAUUUUGUUUAGACGGCAUCCCAUCAAAAGACAACAAUUUGGAUAAUAAUGUUUUGAGUUUUUGGAAGAGAAUGAGUGCAUUUAACAAUGGCUAUUUUAUACCAAGAUGGACACUUAAGUGUGUUACAAAGAUAAUGCCAUCAUGAUUGUCAUGCUAAAAUAUUAUGUGUGGCUCUUGAUUUGAAACUUUUUUUUCUGUUAACAUUUUACAGGAAUUUAAUGGCUAGAACAACCAUGAUUGGUAAUAAUAACAGUCUUCUAACUAUACUUUAUAUUUCAAAGUGCUUGAUAUCCAGGGGCCGGGGAUUUUAGCUCAGUGGUUCCAGUGCCUGACUUGUAAGUGCAAGGUCCUGAGUUUGAUCCCUGGUGCCAACAAAAAAAAAGUGCUUGAUAUCCAGAUAAAAUUAUGACAGUUAAGUUCACUACUCCCAUUGCAAUGCUAAUGUUAUUGAUAUUCUGUUCUGGGUGUUCAACAACUAAUGCUUAGAUACCAGAAUUAAAAAGAUGACUUGUGGUAAGAAGACAGCCAAUAUUUUGGCCCUGACCCUUCAAGGUCUACAAAUAACCCAGAAAGUGAAGAACAUUUUCUACCUGAUCCUCUCGUUAUUUUGCUUUACCAACUUUGCUCUACCAACUUUGUUAAGUCACCCAACCUCCUGAGCAGAGAGAUUGUUGGACACCAAAAAGAUAAGAAUCAAGAGUGUGCCAAAGGAGUGUCACUUGUAGGGAAAAAUCUCCCACGCUUUCACAGAAAGCAACAUGGUCAAGCAAGCCCAUGACACACCCUGAUGGCUGACACGACAGGAGUUGAAAAGCUCUAUGCAAGGUUCAAGUCAUGUCUGUGGAGACUUAAUUGACCUUGAUAGACUCCAAGAGGUUACUUUUAAUUAAUGUAGGUCUCACCUUAACUUGCUCUUGAACACCCAGUAGAAAAGCAUAAUCCAAAGAUAGAUAAAGUCAGGACCAUAGUAAUACAGCUGGAUAUAAGAAGGGGCUCCAAUUGCUGACCCCUACUGACAGUUUCCAGCUACACUCGUGACUCACUCCUGUUAUGGGUCAAUAGAAAAAACUAUGGUAAAAUUUAUAGACCUCCACAAGAGUUUUAACAUUUUUAGCUGAAAUUGUUUUUUUAAUUAUUAAAUUUUCAGUCUUUUUACAGCUAAAAUUUAAAAAAUUAUGACAAAUAUCAGACUUAUAGAUAACCUCUAUUAAUAAAAGAGUCUAAGAGCCAGCAGUUUACAAUUACUAUUUUAGUCUUUUAAAAACAGUUUCUAAACAUGGCUGUUUCCCCAACCUGCUUUUUUAUUUUAGUACUUAUAAUUUGAUUAUAAUGCUCUAAUUUCUUUAAAAAAUUGUUUAUUCUUGCCUAUAGGCUGCCAAACUCCAAGUGAUUAUGUAGAUAAAAUCAACAACAAAUGUGCUAGAUUUUUUUAACCAAAAUCCACCAGAUUGACUUUGUAUAGAGAGUUUAUAAUUGCUAAAUCACAACAUGAUUUUAUUUAAGGCCUAUUAAAUUAGCUCCCUGAAGAGAGCCUCUGUCUUCCUUACAUCCACGCUUCCCAGCUCGAAGAAGUUAGAUUGAAACUAUGCCCUUUCUCCCCUAGCUGCAGUUGGAGGUGCUCCUUGGAAAGGGAAUUAUUAUAGACAGUUAAGCCAGUUAGACACAUUGUAAGUUUUUGUCACAUAGGGUCCACUGGCUAACUCAUGGGGCCAAGCCAUUGUUGAACGUAUUCACCUUUCCCUAAAGGCACAAUAAACCCAAAGGGGGGGGGUGCAGCUACCUCCACAAGCUCAAUUAGAUCUUGUUACUUUCAUUUAAAAAUUUUUAAAUCCACGUAUGGAAAGUAAAUAUAUACAAAGAAAGACCUACAGACAUGUCCUAGACAAUAGUGCUGUCAAAGGAUGUCCUAACUAAAAGGUAAAUGGCUCCAUACAAUUAAUAACAUAGGGGCCAGGGGAUGCUUAUUUUUCAACAGAAAAUAAAAAGAUGUUGUGGCCAUCACCCCAGAACAUACCACCUUGAACCAACAAGAUGGAUUCGCUAUAAGCAGCAUGAUGUGACACCCUGCUGAAAGCCAUGCACAGGCUGCCUCUGAUUCACUCCCCUCACCUGCCACAGCCCUGGGACCUGCAAAGAUCACCAGACCUGAUGGAGCUGCUGUUUUCAAACAGAGAAGGGAGAGCUGCGGAGGACUGUAAUAUUAUGCCCAAGGGAGGCUGUGAAGAGCCAACCCCACAGUCAGCUUGUUUAUAGAAGUGAGUCCAGCUGAAGCCUAUGUCCGAGGUCAGAGUAACUCGCACCCAAAUUCCUUUCCCACAACUACACCUUCAGACUAGAAGGACAGUGUUCUAAUCACAACCAUGUAUUUUGUCUAUUCUGUUCCUAACUUGAGAGUGCCAUGUCUUGUCCUUCACAAGCCUUGUUUACAUUAAUUUCCAUAGAAACCACUCAUAGCUCACCUUUACCCCAGUUGAUUGUCCAUAAAAGUCAGUGCCUGGGACUGGCCACUGCCUUUGUUGGCUGCACCAGCACUGGUUGUCCUGGCCCCUGAUUUCUCUCCUACUUCUGUCUCUUAGUGCAUUCUUUUCUCAGGCCUGCAUCACACACUGGCCAGGUGGGGACUGGAACCUGACCGCAGGGGUCUCCAGCAAGGAUCAAAGCCAGGUGCUCUGCCAGUGAACUACAUCCACAGCCCCAUUCACUUACUCAUUUAUUUAUGUAUUUAUUUAGUAUUUUGAGACUGAGUCUCACUAUGUUGCCCAUGUAGUACUGCAGAUAGGUAGGUUAAUUAGAUAUCUUGUAGGCAGUUAGACAGGGCCAGCCCACAAGGAGCCAACAUGGAGGAGAGUGAAGACACAUUCACUGAAGGCCAGCAUUGUAAAAGGAGAGAAAUUAGCCUACCCAUGUAAGAUGAAGAGCAGUGACUGAUGUUCUAAAUAGGUA
rnacentral:lncRNA from 1 species